CAGGACGAACGCUGGCGGCGUGCCUAACACAUGCAAGUCGAGCGAGGAGAUUCCUUCGGGAUGAUCCUAGCGGCGGACGGGUGAGUAACACGUGGGCAACCUGCCUCAUAGAGAGGAAUAGCCUUCCGAAAGGGAGAUUAAUACCUCAUAACAUUGCAGUUUCGCAUGGAACAGCAAUUAAAGGAGCAAUCCGCUAUGAGAUGGGGCCCGCGGCGCAUUAGCUAGUUGGUGAGGUAACGGCUCACUAAGGCGACGAUGCGUAGCCGACCUGAGAGGGUGAUCGGCCACAUUGGGACUGAGACACGGCCCAGACUCCUACGGGAGGCAGCAGUGGGGAAUAUUGCACAAUGGGGGAAACCCUGAUGCAGCCAACGCCGCGUGAGUGAUGACGGCCUUCGGGUUGUAAAGCUCUGUCUUCAGGGACGAUAAUGACGGUACCUGAGGAGGAAGCCACGGCUAACUACGUGCCAGCAGCAGC
rnacentral:rRNA from 1 species